rnacentral:rRNA from 1 species
AUUGAACGCUGGCGGCAGGCCUAACACAUGCAAGUCGAACGAGUGGCGGACGGGUGAGUAAUGUCUGGGAAACUGCCUGAUGGAGGGGGAUAACUACUGGAAACGGUAGCUAAUACCGCAUACCAUCGGAUGUGCCCAGAUGGGCGUAGCUAGGAGGUGGGGUAAAGGCUCACCUAGGCGACGGUCCCUAGCUGGUCUGAGAGGAUGACGAGCCACACGGGAACUGAUACACGGUCCAGACUCCUACUGGCGGAAGAGGUGGGGAAUAUUGCACAAUGGGCGCAAGCCUGAUACAUCCAUGCCGCGUGUAUGAAGAAGGCCUUCGGUUUGUAAAGUACUUUCAUCGGGGAGGCGUUACCCGCAGAAGAAGCACCGGCUAACUCCGUGCCAGCAGCCGCGGUAAUAC